rnacentral:rRNA from 1 species
GAGUUUGAUCCUGGCUCAGGAUGAACGCUGGCGGCGUGCUUAACACAUGCAAGUCGAACGAAGCACUUUAUUUGAUUUCCUUCGGGACUGAUUAUUUUGUGACUGAGUGGCGGACGGGUGAGUAACGCGUGAGUAACCUGCCCUGGAGUGGGGGACAACAGUUGGAAACGACUGCUAAUACCGCAUAAGCCCACGGGUCCGCAUGGAUCUGCGGGAAAAGGAUUUAUUCGCUCUAGGAUGGACUCGCGUCCAAUUAGCUAGUUGGUGAGGUAACGGCCCACCAAGGCGACGAUCCAUAGCCGGCCUGAGAGGGUGAACGGCCACAUUGGGACUGAGACACGGCCCAGACUCCUACGGGAGGCAGCAGUGGGGGAUAUUGCACAAUGGGGGAAACCCUGAUGCAGCGACGCCGCGUGGAGGAAGAAGGUUUUCGGAUUGUAAACUCCUGUCGUUAGGGACGAUAAUGACGGUACCUAACAAGAAAGCACCGGCUAACUACGUGCCAGCCGCCGCGGUAAUAC